rnacentral:tRNA from 1 species
AGUCUUAUAGUCAAUUAUGACAUUAAAUUGCAAAUUUAAAAGUAAGUUAAAAAUUUAAGGCUU